rnacentral:rRNA from 1 species
UAAGUUAGAAAGGGCGCACGGUGGAUGCCUUGACACUAGGAGUCGAUGAAGGACGGGACUAACGCCGAUAUGCUUCGGGGAGCUGUAAGUAAGCUUUGAUCCGAAGAUUUCCGAAUGGGGAAACCCACCAUACGUAAUGGUAUGGUAUCCUUAUCUGAAUACAUAGGGUAAGGAAGACAGACCCAGGGAACUGAAACAUCUAAGUACCUGGAGGAAGAGAAAGCAAAUGCGAUUUCCUGAGUAGCGGCGAGCGAAACGGAACAUAGCCCAAACCAAGAGGCUUGCCUCUUGGGGUUGUAGGACAUUCUAUACGGAGUUACAAAGGAACGAGGUAGACGAAGCGACCUGGAAAGGUCCGUCGUAGAGGGUAACAACCCCGUAGUCGAAACUUCGUUCUCUCUUGAAUGUAUCCUGAGUACGGCGGAACACGUGAAAUUCCGUCGGAAUCUGGGAGGACCAUCUCCCAAGGCUAAAUACUACCUAGUGAUCGAUAGUGAACCAGUACCGUGAGGGAAAGGUGAAAAGCACCCCGGAAGGGGAGUGAAAGAGAUCCUGAAACCGUGUGCCUACAAAUAGUCAGAGCCCGUUAACGGGUGAUGGCGUGCCUUUUGUAGAAUGAACCGGCGAGUUACGAUCCCGUGCGAGGUUAAGCUGAAGAGGCGGAGCCGCAGCGAAAGCGAGUCUGAAUAGGGCGUUUAGUACGUGGUCGUAGACCCGAAACCAGGUGAUCUACCCAUGUCCAGGGUGAAGUUCAGGUAACACUGAAUGGAGGCCCGAACCCACGCACGUUGAAAAGUGCGGGGAUGAGGUGUGGGUAGCGGAGAAAUUCCAAUCGAACCUGGAGAUAGCUGGUUCUCCCCGAAAUAGCUUUAGGGCUAGCCUUAAGUGUAAGAGUCUUGGAGGUAGAGCACUGAUUGGACUAGGGGUCCUCAUCGGAUUACCGAAUUCAGUCAAACUCCGAAUGCCAAUGACUUAUCCUUAGGAGUCAGACUGCGAGUGAUAAGAUCCGUAGUCAAAAGGGAAACAGCCCAGACCGCCAGCUAAGGUCCCAAAGUGUGUAUUAAGUGGAAAAGGAUGUGGAGUUGCUUAGACAACUAGGAUGUUGGCUUAGAAGCAGCCACCAUUUAAAGAGUGCGUAAUAGCUCACUAGUCGAGUGACUCUGCGCCGAAAAUGUACCGGGGCUAAAUACACCACCGAAGCUGCGGAUUGAUACCAAUGGUAUCAGUGGUAGGGGAGCGUUCUAAGGACAGUGAAGUCAGACCGGAAGGACUGGUGGAGUGCUUAGAAGUGAGAAUGCCGGUAUGAGUAGCGAAAGACGGGUGAGAAUCCCGUCCACCGAAUGCCUAAGGUUUCCUGAGGAAGGCUCGUCCGCUCAGGGUUAGUCAGGACCUAAGCCGAGGCCGACAGGCGUAGGCGAUGGACAACAGGUUGAUAUUCCUGUACCACCUCUUCAUCGUUUGAGCAAUGGAGGGACGCAGAAGGAUAGAAGAAGCGUGCGAUUGGUUGUGCACGUCCAAGCAGUUAGGCUGAUAAGUAGGCAAAUCCGCUUAUCGUGAAGGCUGAGCUGUGAUGGGGAAGCUCCUUAUGGAGCGAAGUCUUUGAUUCCCCGCUGCCAAGAAAGCUUCUAGCGAGAUAAAAGGUGCCUGUACCGCAAACCGACACAGGUAGGCGAGGAGAGAAUCCUAAGGUGUGCGAGAGAACUCUGGUUAAGGAACUCGGCAAAAUGACCCCGUAACUUCGGGAGAAGGGGUGCUUUCUUAACGGAAAGCCGCAGUGAAUAGGCCCAAGCGACUGUUUAGCAAAAACACAGCUCUCUGCGAAGCCGUAAGGCGAAGUAUAGGGGGUGACACCUGCCCGGUGCUGGAAGGUUAAGGAGAGGGGUUAGCGUAAGCGAAGCUCUGAACUGAAGCCCCAGUAAACGGCGGCCGUAACUAUAACGGUCCUAAGGUAGCGAAAUUCCUUGUCGGGUAAGUUCCGACCCGCACGAAAGGUGUAACGAUUUGGGCACUGUCUCAACCAGAGACUCGGUGAAAUUAUAGUACCUGUGAAGAUGCAGGUUACCCGCGACAGGACGGAAAGACCCCGUGGAGCUUUACUGUAGCCUGAUAUUGAAUUUUGGUACAGUUUGUACAGGAUAGGCGGGAGCCUUUGAAACCGGAGCGCUAGCUUCGGUGGAGGCGCUGGUGGGAUACCGCCCUGACUGUAUUGAAAUUCUAACCUACGGGUCUUAUCGACCCGGGAGACAGUGUCAGGUGGGCAGUUUGACUGGGGCGGUCGCCUCCUAAAGUGUAACGGAGGCGCCCAAAGGUUCCCUCAGAAUGGUUGGAAAUCAUUCGUAGAGUGCAAAGGCAUAAGGGAGCUUGACUGCGAGACCUACAAGUCGAGCAGGGACGAAAGUCGGGCUUAGUGAUCCGGUGGUUCCGCAUGGAAGGGCCAUCGCUCAACGGAUAAAAGCUACCCCGGGGAUAACAGGCUUAUCUCCCCCAAGAGUCCACAUCGACGGGGAGGUUUGGCACCUCGAUGUCGGCUCAUCGCAUCCUGGGGCUGUAGUCGGUCCCAAGGGUUGGGCUGUUCGCCCAUUAAAGCGGUACGCGAGCUGGGUUCAGAACGUCGUGAGACAGUUCGGUCCCUAUCCGUCGUGGGCGUAGGAAAUUUGAGAGGAGCUGUCCUUAGUACGAGAGGACCGGGAUGGACGCACCGCUGGUGUACCAGUUGUUCUGCCAAGGGCAUAGCUGGGUAGCUAUGUGUGGAAGGGAUAAGUGCUGAAAGCAUCUAAGCAUGAAGCCCCCCUCAAGAUGAGAUUUCCCAUAGCGUAAGCUAGUAAGAUCCCUGAAAGAUGAUCAGGUUGAUAGGUUCGAGGUGGAAGCAUGGUGACAUGUGGAGCUGACGAAUACUAAUAGAUCGAGGACUUAACCA